AGGACUAACGCUGGCGGCGUGCCUAACACAUGCAAGUCGAACGAAGUAGCAAUACUUAGUGGCAGACGGGUGAGUAACACGUAGUCAACCUGCCCUUCAAUGGGGGAUAACUAGCCGAAAGGUUAGCUAAUACCGCAUACGAUCUCUGAGUGGCAUCACUCGGCGAUGAAAGGAGUAAUCCGUUGAAGGAGGGGACUGCGUCCCAUUAGUUAGUUGGUGGGGUAAUGGCCUACCAAGACUCCGAUGGGUAGCUGGAUUGAGAGAGCGACCAGCCACACUGGAACUGAGACACGGUCCAGACUCCUACGGGAGGCAGCAGUGAGGAAUUUUCCGCAAUGGGGGAAACCCUGACGGAGCGACGCCGCGUGUGGGAAGAAGGCCUUCGGGUCGUAAACCACUGUCGAGGGGGACGAUAUUGACGGUACCCCUGGAGGAAGCCCCGGCUAACUACGCGCCAGCAGCCGC
rnacentral:rRNA from 1 species